rnacentral:misc_RNA from 1 species
GUCAAUUCUGCAAGAAUAUUACUUUGUCAAACACAACAAGCGCAAAUGUUGUCGGCAGAUGAGAUGGAGAUGGCAAGAUGACAGACAGGAUAGUCUCCUGUCCAUCCGCUCUACCACUCCAAACCACCCACACAACUACUGAUUUGUAAUGAUCCUUCCGCAGGUUCACCUACGGAAA